rnacentral:rRNA from 1 species
UACGUAGGCAGCGAGCGUUGUUCGGAGUUACUGGGCGUAAAGCGUGCGUCGGCGGUGUCUUAAGUUUGUUGUGAAAUCUCCCGGCUUAACCGGGAGGGUGCGGCGAAUACUGAGAUGCUGGAGUGCCGGAGAGGUAAGCGGAAUUCCUGGUGUAGCGGUGAAAUGCGUAGAUAUCAGGAGGAACACCUGCGGUGUAGACGGCUUACUGGACGGUAACUGACGCUGAGGCACGAAAGCGUGGGUAGCAAACAGG